AACGAACGCUGGCGGCAUGCCUAACACAUGCAAGUCGAACGAGACCUUCGGGUCUAGUGGCGCACGGGUGCGUAACGCGUGGGAACCUGCCCUUAGGUUCGGAAUAACUCCCCGAAAGGGGUGCUAAUACCGGAUAAUGUCUUCGGACCAAAGAUUUAUCGCCUUUGGAUGGGCCCGCGUUGGAUUAGCUAGUUGGUAGGGUAAAAGCCUACCAAGGCGACGAUCCAUAGCUGGUCUGAGAGGAUGAUCAGCCACACUGGGACUGAGACACGGCCCAGACUCCUACGGGAGGCAGCAGUGGGGAAUAUUGGACAAUGGGCGAAAGCCUGAUCCAGCAAUGCCGGGUGAGUGAUGAAGGCCUUAGGGUUGUAAAGCUCUUUUACCCGGGAUGAUAAUGACGGUACCGGGAGAAUAAGCUCCGGCUAACUCCGUG
rnacentral:rRNA from 1 species